CAAUCUUUCCGAAUGAGUCUUCGUCCUCCAAUUUGAAUCUCUUCUCAAAAACUUCUGCGAUCAACUCUUCAAGACUCCAAACAACUUUACGAAAUUCGCCAACCUAUAAAAUCCUUAACAAUCUCCCCCUUUGGCGAUUUCGUGACAAAAUAUACUACAAAGCUCGUAUACAACCAAUAAGUCAUAAAAAGAAGAUCAUCGCAAUCACCAAACGAUAAUCUCCUGCAUGAUCAAUCCAAUAAACAAAAAUUUACACUUUUACAACCUUAAUACAAACUCUAUGACUUAGACAUGGAGUCUUGAAGUCUUGAAUUAUUCCUGCAAAAACAUUCUCAAAAACAUAAUCAAGAUUCAAGUAACAAUGAGAUCAAACAAUCAACUAAAGUUCACACUUCAUAGUUCAUAGUCAAACUAAACG
rnacentral:lncRNA from 1 species